rnacentral:rRNA from 1 species
CCUACGGGAGGCAGCAGUGAGGAAUAUUGGUCAAUGGACGAGAGUCUGAACCAGCCAAGUAGCGUGAAGGAUGACUGCCCUAUGGGUUGUAAACUUCUUUUAUAAAGGAAUAAAACGAGGCACGUGUGCCUUUUUGCAUGUACUUUAUGAAUAAGGAUCGGCUAACUCCGUGCCAGCAGCCGCGGUAAUACGGAGGAUACGAGCGUUAUCCGGAUUUAUUGGGUUUAAAGGGAGCGUAGAUGGGUUGUUAAGUCAGUUGUGAAAGUUUGCGGCUCAACCGUAAAAUUGCAAUUGAUACUGGCAGUCGUGAGUACAGUUGAGGUAGGCGGAAUUCGUGGUGUAGCGGUGAAAUGCUUAGAUAUCACGAAGAACCCCGAUUGCGAAGGCAGCUUACUAAACUGUGACUGACAUUGAUGCUCGAAAGUGUGGGUAUCAAACAGGAUUAGAUACCCGAGUAGUC